GACCUGGUGGUGUAGUGGUAAACACGCCUGCUGGUUUUAGUAUAUCUCGAGAUUAAUGUGCAGGAGAUCUGCGUUCGAUCCGCGGUCAGGUCG